rnacentral:SRP_RNA from 4 species
UAGCAGGGAGGGCCGGGGCGCUAGCCGUGCCCCGUUCUGAAACCGGCUAUACGCAGAGGCCAGCAACCGGCGGGUAAAUCCCCGGGCGGGCGGCACCCGCCUGGCGGGCGGGCGUGAAGCCACGCCGGGGCGGGUGGUUGCAGCGCAGGGGCCGGCCGAAGGGCCGCACCCCAUGCGCGAACCGGCGAAAUGGGCCAGGUCCGGGAGGGAGCAGCCCUAAGUCGGAGCAUCCACGCUUCCCCGUCAACGUGGUGGAUCUUGCCGGCCAGGAGACGGGGCCGUUGGCCCGUGGUGGAGCCGCCGGGCCUGCUA